UACGGAAGGUCCAGGCGUUAUCCGGAUUUAUUGGGUUUAAAGGGAGCGCAGGCGGACCUUUAAGUCAGCUGUGAAAUACGGCGGCUCAACCGUCGAACUGCAGUUGAUACUGGAGGUCUUGAGUGCACACAGGGAUACUGGAAUUCAUGGUGUAGCGGUGAAAUGCUCAGAUAUUAUGAAGAACUCCGAUCGCGAAGGCAGGUAUCCGGGGUGCAACUGACGCUGAGGCUCGAAAGUGCGGGUAUCAAACAGG
rnacentral:rRNA from 1 species